AGCCUCUUGCCUAUCCGUACCUCCUCGUGGUACUGGCCGGGGUACCAGUAACCUUAGGGAAGACCGGGGAACUCUGGUCGAAUGCUGACAGGGAAGG
rnacentral:ribozyme from 1 species